rnacentral:lncRNA from 1 species
UCCACCCCUCCGGAUGAACUUGGUUCUCGAUAGGCUCAGCAAGCGGAGGGUGGUAGUUACCUGGGUUUACCUGGCUAGCUAAGUGCAUAUCCUUCUCAUCAUAUUCACUGAAAGCAAGUGGAGAAUAGGGCCUAAAAGGAGCUUGAGGUGCAGGCUGCGUACGGUCUCUAUCCGGCCAUGUGGUUGGCCGUGCAUUGUUG